CAGGGUCUUCUGUUUGGGGGGAUACACACACAGGCAGGAAGAGUCAGGGACACAAAUACAUGUAUAUGCAGACACACACAUCCAAUAGAAAGAGGCUGAGAGUGAGAGACUGAGAGGCUAAGAGGUGAGAGGAUGAGGUGAGAGACUGAGAGGCUAAGAGGUGAGAGGAUGAGGUGAGAGACUGAGAGGCUAAGAGGUGAGAGGAUGAGGUGAGAGACUGAGAGGCUAAGAGGUGAGAGGAUGAGGUGAGAGACUGAGAGGCUAAGAGGUGAGAGGAUGAGGUGAGAGACUGAGAGGCUAAGAGGUGAGAGGCUGAGAGGUGAGAGGCUAAGAGGUGAGAGGAUGAGGUGAGAGACUGAGAGGCUAAGAGGUGAGAGGCUAAGAGGUGAGAGGCUAAGAGGUGAGAGGCUAAGAAGUGAGAGGCUAAGAGGUGAGAGGCUAAGAGGUGAGAGGCUAAGAGGUGAGAGGCUAAGAGGUGAGAGGAUGAGGUGAGAGACUGAGAGGCUAAGAGGUGAGAGAGUGAGAGAGUGAGAGUUUAGAGACAGAGAGUGAAAGAUUAAAAGGUAAGCAGAGGAAAUGAAAGAGUUUUAAAAGAGAGGAGGAACUAAAAGAGAAAUCCACCAACAAAAAGAGAGGAAUAGAGAGA